UUAAAGAAAAUAAGAAUAAAUAUUAUAUAGAUGUAACACAAAGGCCAUUAAACCAUAGACUUAAAGAACAUAUGAAAGAUAUCAGGUUAGGAAACUUUAGCAUGAUCUUCUCGAGAUAUGUCUAUGAAGAUAAUAUAACAAUCCUAUGGAAAGAUGCAAAAGUAAUCAGGCAGGUAGACACUAAUGAAGAAAGGUUCAUAGCAGAAACUUUAUUAAUAAUUAAUCUGCAACCUAAAGAGGAUGUUAUCAAUAACAGAAUUUUGGAGCAACCAUCAGCUGCUUGAAUAUUCUUCCCCCAUAAAUCUUUGUCCUCCUCCUUUUAAAU
rnacentral:lncRNA from 1 species